CCGCACUACAGUCGUGUUGGUGCCCGCGGUUCGCUGUGGGUGAAAAGGGAAUGCCGCGGGUCGAAAGGCCCAAACGCAGCCGCCCCCGCGACCGUGACCGGAAAGGGUGCUCCACGCCACUGGCCAAGGGCCGGGAAGGCAGGGCAGCCGCAGAGGCAAACGCCUCGGGAUCCGCAAGCCGGGAGACCUGCCAGCCAAAGAAGGACGAA
rnacentral:ncRNA from 2 species